rnacentral:lncRNA from 1 species
AGAAGAUGGAAAAACCGAAAAGAAGCAAGAUGGGAAAUGCAAUUAGAAAAAACAGAUUCAUACAACACACUUCAUGGUUUGUGAGUCGUAUUAACAGUGCCAGGCCAUUUAAGGAAAACAAAGGAAAUGCAUAUUCAGUGGGUGGCUACCAUGUAUGAAGCACUACUGGGAGACUAAUUCAAGUUCUGCUCCUCAGUUUUUCUGUAGAGAACACAUCUAACUCCUGGAGGGGAGCACGGGUGAUGAGAUGUCCAGGUAGAGUGUGGGGGUAUGGAUUCUAGGAAGUAGGCCAGGAAGCAACACUUGGCUUUCAACCAGUUGAUUUUUAGCCACCCAAAAAGUACUGAGAUGACUGAAUGCCCACAUUUUGUGUGCAGCCUUGCAGAACAUGCUGUACACAUCCCAGACGUCACGGAUGACUUGCUUGUGGGGUGGGUGGUUGAGUUUUAUCUGAAUUCUGCACAUCUGCAGGAGGCCCAGCCUCCGUAAAGGCAGUCUUGGUGGUAAACAGCCAUGACUAGUCUUAGGGUUCAUCGUGAGUAUAGUGUAGAGACCCCCUCAACUGUGGACUCCACAUCAUGGCCUCAGGGUUGUGAGGUCCUCAACUAGGGAUGGCGGAGGGUGGCAGCAAACCCUCAUGGGAAUGCCACCCAGUGUUCCUCAGCAUUUAAUGGGACUCACAUAGUCUAGAAAACCCAGGGUUCAUUUGGACUGUGGAAAGUAUCUAGGUUCUCAUAAUCUUUUUCUACAGAGUUUCCCCCAGCCUGAUCUCUGCUUUGGGGCACGAGGUGGUGUGCACGGGAGAGAGAACAGAUCAGCAACAUGGUGCUGAUGCAGUGAUUUCUGCAGCAAGAAAAGGGCCUCUUUCCUGUCCUUCUGGCAUUGGGAGCGAAAGGGACUUUCUGUCCACUGAUAGCGCGUGUGCACCAAGGAGCGCUCACCUGCUCAUUCAUGACUGUGGAGAGUUCGCUGAGCAUGUCCUUGUAGUGGGACCUCAGUUCUUCCUGGUACUCCAGCUGGUCCUCUUUGAUGAGGCGCUCAUUCACGUCAAGGGCCUGCCCACAUGCAUCUGCAAAUUGCCUUUAGCGACAGCAUUAAACAAAUUAAAAACCAGCCCUCGGAAGUGGCAUUGAGCUCAGUGACUGUGAGUUCAGAGUCAGGCUGCUGAUGGACUCUGCCACCUCAGUGAGUUUUGGUGUGAUGGAUUCUUGGGGGAUUGAGGACUCCCUGUCUCAGGAAGUUCAAGGAAGAACAUCCCAACAGCGAGAAGCUUACCUGAAGAUCUCCUUCAAAAGCUUUACUUGGUUGUCAGGGUACUUCUUUGCAUUGGUUUCUUCAAGAAAAGCUCGUGCAUAGGCCAUUGGCCCAGCAUUAACCUGUUGAGAAGAAAAUUGGUGAAGGAUGAUCUACCUUCUGCAUGGAGUCUUUUCCACCGCUGGAAGAGGAGCAACUGUGCACCAAUGGUCCUUCUCUUCUUAGCCCCAUGUGAACUGUGAGCUCCAGAAGGAAAAGACCCUGUGCGCCUCAUCUCUCAGUUCUGGGCUUGGCAUUCAGCAGGCAUUUGAUAGAGGUUGGCUAACUGAACGACAGUGUGUAAGAAGAUGCUGAGUAAUCUAAAAGAAGAGUCCCUUUAAGGAUUGAAAUGAAACAUUCGGGUAAUGAAGCAUUGAGAGGGUGAAAGUUCUCCAGGUGAUUCUGUUGAAUGGCCAACUGGAAAUGAGAAUAGAAGCGUCUCUGAGUGAACACUUGACGUAGGACACUGGAAGAAGCAGUGCACACUGAUGGAAUGGGCAAGUGGUUCAUGCCAGAAGAUAAAGGACUUAACAUACCAGAAGCAGGUACAAAUAUACAGUAACUGGGAAAAUGAAAUAAUGCCUGAGGAAACAAUAGAAAGAGCUAAGAAAGCAUUACAGAGGAAACACAGAGCAUUCAACAAACCAACAGGAAAGUCUUCCUUAAAUUAACACAGGAAUCUCAUGUACUUGUAAUGUUGACUUCAAAAGGACAGCACUUUAGUUUUCUCCUCUAUCUUUUUCUUUCCUCUCUCUCCCCAUUUAAUUAUUUAUGUGCACAGGUACACAUUAUUUAUACAUUUAAAAAUUCACCUAGCCCAUUAAUGCAAAGAGAUGGAAUUCUAAGUAGCUAAGGCAAAUUCCUGAUAUUACUGUGGUGGGCGCCACUCAGUUAAAGGGAGAAAACUUCCCACUUACUGCAGACAGGAAAUGAGACAAGUCACACAGCACAAGGGGAUAUGAGCAAUUUCCAAGAGGCAUUUCAUACCUUAAUAUAUGACUGGACAGAAUGAUCCAGCUGCUCCUCAUGGCACUUGGCCACAAUGUCGGUCAGAACCCUGCAAAAGCAAAGCUGUUCAGUGGCCUUUCUGGAGAGGGCAGAAAAACCCCGCUUUAGUUUGUCAUUACAGUGCUUUGUAAAUUGGGUAUUUAAUAAUUACUGGGUGAAUGAAUGAACCAAUCUCUGACUCCUUCCUUGCCCUCCUCAGCCCCAUAUCCAAUACUGGGCAUUUAAUAUCUAUAGCAUCAAUGAGCCAUUUCCAUCGAUUAGCCAUUUCCAACUUUGAAACUUUGAAACACAAAGAUGUAAGUAGUGUUGUAAUAUCACAAUGGAGACUUUUUGUCCAAGUUGAAUGUGCUAAUUAUGGUCUGUGCGUUUUUGACAUUAUCUUUUUGCAAAAGGGAUUAUUUUUAGUGCCUAAUUAAAAUUUUAGACUUUUAAUUUCAAAUUAAUAAUCAUAUUUCAUUUGAAGAGGGCUUGCCUUCCAACCUAUAGGCACUAUAUAUGCUUUUGGAAAAAGUAAUUAGGUUAAGAUGCAGUUGUUUUGUUUUGCUUUGUUUUUCCCUUAGCUGGGUUGGGGUUUCUAGCAGCAAUGAUGUACAGGUGGAUCUUUUUUCACAUUAACACUACCAGCUGCUCCAUGGCUAUAGUGCUUAGGAAUAUCUCAGAAUUUCAACAGAUCUAUCAGCUGCAAUAUCUAGGAGUCUUGCCAACACAGAGACACAUUCACAUGCUGAAAAGAGCAUGAGUUGAAGGCACAGCUGGGGACUUUUGAUGCAGGUCCAGAACUGGAUGGUUGUGAAGCCAUUAGAGAUAUUUAAAUUGUCCAGAAUUUCAGGCUCUGCUUUAAAAACUAGGCUACAAACCCUCAUUCAGAAAGAGGUCAGUAAUAUGCCUGUGAGUUAGAAAGAUACUGGAAACAUUUCAAUGCCAAAAGUAACAUUUUUUUCCAGAAUGCUAUGACUAAAUUUUUUAAAAAAAUGAACAGCACAAAUAUAUAAUUUAAUAAUUAAUUCAAAGCACUAUCUCUAUAAAGAAGAAAUUGUGAUUUGUGAAGGCAUUGGCCAGAUUAGAGAUGUUGGAAGAAUUCAGUAUAGCCAAAUUUAAAGUGAGAACAGUUAAAGCAUUUAAUACUUAAAAAAAAGGUUCUUGUGGGAAUGCAAAAUUAUACAGCCACUCUGGAGAAUAGGCACUUUCUUAAAUAUCAAACAUGCAACCACCCUGCCCCCCAGCAAUUACACUUUGGGCAUUUACUUAAGAGAAACGAAGACUUAUGUUUACACAAAACCUCUACAUGAAUGUUCAUAGCACUUCUUUUUUUUUGAGACGGAGUCUUGCUCUUUCACCCAGGCUGGAGUGCAGUGGUGCAAUCUCAGCUCACUGCAAGCUCCGCCUCCUGGGUUCAUGCCAUUCUCCUGCCUCAGCCUCCCGAGUAGCUGGGACUACAGGCACCCACCACCACGCCCGGCUAAUUUUUUGUAAUUUUUUUUUUUUUUUUUUUAGUAGAGUUGGGGUUUCACCAACUCUACUGUUACAUGUUAGGCAGGAUGGUCUCGAUCUCCUGUCCUUGUGAUCCACCGGCCUCGGCCUCCCAAAGUGCUGGGAUGACAGGCGUGAGCCACCGGGCCCAGCCGUUCAUAGCACUUUUAUUCAUAACAGCCCUAAACUAGAGACACUCCAAAUGUCCUUCAACAGGUGAAUAAUUAAACAUAUGUGGUGCAUCCACAUCGUGGAAUACUACUCUGCAAUGAAAAGGAGUGAACUACUGAUAGAUGCAAUGAUCUGGAUGAAUCUCCAGAGAAUUAUGUUACAUGAAAAAGCCAAUUACAAACAUUUACCUACUGUAUGAUUCUACACCUGUAUGGAAGAUGUUGCCAGUGGGGAAAACCAGGUAAAGGGCACAUGGGAAACUCUGAAUUAUGUUUUACAAUUGCACAUGAAUCUACCGUGAUCUCAAAAGAAAAAGUUUAAUUUAAAAAUCAAAGAAAAAGAGGUCUAACACUUUACUACUAAUAAUAAGAGAUUAGAAGGUAAGGAGUCAAGAGUGGAAAAUGCUUAAAUUUGAGAUGUGUUCAAAUGAAAUGUAAACACACAACAGUAGAUGACUGUUUAGUUAUAAUUAAGAGUUUAUGUAACUACACAUUAUAAAGUCUCUCCUCUUAAGGUUGUGUUAUGGAUACCUGGUGACAGUUGUAGUUAUUUCAUCUUCCUCAUUCUGUACCAGAACUUUGAAGAGCUGAUUCAAAAUUAUAGGCAGAAAACUCAUGAUUGCAUGAAUCUUUUCCACAUUCAAUAAGUUCUGUAGUAAAUUGGCAGAAAAAAAGGAUACCAAUUAAAUUUGAAGCAUGUCCUACAUUCAAGACCUGAAACUAUAAAUCUAUGAGAAGAAAACAUAAGGAGAAAAACUUCGUGACAUUAGACUGGGCAAUGAUUUUUUGGAUAUGACCCUCAAAGCUCAGGCAGCAAAGUGAAAACAGACAAAUGGCAUAUCAAACUAAAAGGUUUCAGCACAGCCAAGGAAACACUCAAUGGAGUAAAGAGACAACUUUACUCCAUUGAAUGGAGGAAAAUAUUUGCAAACCAUACAUCUUAGAAAGGGUUAAUAUCCAAAAUAUAUAAGGAACUCAAACAACUCAAUAGUAAGAAAACAAAUAACCCAAUGAAAAAAUGGGCAAGGGACCCAAAUAGACAUUUCUCAAAAGAGGGUGUACAAAUGGCCAACAGAUAUAUAAAAAAUGUUCAACGUCAUUAAUCAUUGGAGAAAUGCAAAUUAAAACCACAGUGGGACAUCACCUCAUAUCUGUUAAAAUGGCUGUUGUCAAAAAAGGUGAAAGAUAAUAAUUAUUGGAGAGGGUGUGGAGGAGAAGGAACACUUGCACAUUGCUGGUAAGAAUGUAAAUCAGAAGAGCCACUAUGGAAAACAAUAUGAAGGUUCCUCAAAAAAUUAAAAAUAGCACUACCAUAUAAUCUAGCAAUCCCACUACUGGAUGUAUAUCCAAAGGAAAUGAGAUCAGUAUGCUGAAGAUGUCUAUUCCCAUCUUUACUGCAGCACUAUUCACUGCAGCCAAGAUACAGAAUCAAUCCAAGUGUCCAUCAACCGAUGAAAUGGGUAAAGAAAAUGUGGUACAUAAACAUAAUGGAAUACUAUACAGCCUUAAAAAGGAAGGAAAUUAGGUCAUUUGCAACAACAUGGAGGAACCCGGAGUAUAUUAUGCUAAGUGAAAUGAGCCAGGCACAGAAAGACAAAUACCGCAUGAUCUCAUUUAUAUGUGGGAUCUAAAAAAGUUGAAUUCAUAGAAGUAGAGAGUGGAAUGGUGGUUACCAGGGGCUAGGGAGGGGAGUGCUGGGAGAUGUUGAUCAAAGGAUACAAAAUUUCAGCUAGAUAGAUAGGAGGAAUAUUGCACAACAUGGUCACUAUAGUUAAUAAAAAUGUGUUAUAUUCUUAAAAAUCUCUAAGAGAGUGGAUAUUAAGUGUUAUAACCUUAAAAAUUAUAAGUAUGUGAUAUAAUAAAUACAGUAAUUAACUCAAUGAAGCUGUUACAUAAUGUAUACAUAUUUCCAAACAUCAUACUGUAUACAAUAAAGGUAUAUAAUUUUUCUUUGUUAAUUAAAAAAUGAAUACGUUAGAAAAAAAUAAAGUAUAUUCUGCUGGUAUUUUUUUCAGAACUUGAGUAUGAA